CAGUGGCAGACGGCUGAGUAACGCGUGGGUGACGUACCUAUCGGUGGGGAAUAACUGCCCGAAAGGGUGGCUAAUACCGCAUCCGUCCACUGCUUCGUGGCAGUGGGGAAAACCGCAAGGUGCCGAUGGAGCGGCCCGCGUUCGAUUAGCUGGUUGGUGGGGUAACGGCCUACCAAGGCGACGAUCGAUAGCUGGUCUCAGAGGAUGAUCAGCCAGACUGGGACUGAGACACGGCCCAGACUCCUACGGGAGGCAGCAGUUAGGAAUUUUGGGCAAUGGGCGGAAGCCUGACCCAGCAACGCCGCGUGGGUGACGAAGGCCUUCGGGUUGUAAAGCCCUUUUCUGAGGGAAGAUGAUGACGGUACCUCAGGAAGAAGCACCGGCUAACUACGUGCCAGCAGCCGCGGUAAUACGUAGGGUGCGAGCGUUGCCCGGAUUUAUUGGGCGUAAAGGGCGCGUAGGCGGUCACGCACGUCCGUUGUGAAAUCGCUCGGCUCAACUGGGCGGGGUCAGCGGAUACGGCGUGGCUGGAGCAAGCUAGGGGGCAAUGGAAUUCCCGGUGUAGUGGUGGAAUGCGUAGAUAUCGGGAGGAACACCAGUGGCGAAGGCGGUUGCCUGGAGCUUUGC
rnacentral:rRNA from 1 species